rnacentral:rRNA from 1 species
GACGAACGCUGGCGGCGUGCUUAACAAAUGCAAGUCGAACGAAGUGGCGAACGGGUGAGUAAUACGUGAGUAACCUGCCCUCCUUUUUGGGAUAAGCCUUGGAAACGGGGUCUAAUACCGAAUAACGGGGUAUGGGCUCGCGGCCGAUCAGCGUGUUGGUGGGGUGAUGGCCUAUCAAGGCGGUGACGGGUAGCCGGCCUGAGAGGGUGACCGGCCACGUUGGAACGGAGAGACGGCCCCGACUCCUACUGGAGGCGGCAGUGGGGGAUAGUGCACAAGGGGCGAGAGGCUGAUGCAGCGGCGUCGCGAGGGGGAUGAAGUCUUUCGGGUUGUAAACCUCUUUCGCUAGCGCACGGGUAGGUGAAGAGAAAGCGCCGGCUAACUACGUGCCAGCAGCCGCGGUAAUAC